AAAAACAAGAGUUUGAUCCUGGCUCAGAACGAACGCUAGCUAUAUGCUUAACACAUGCAAGUCGAACGUGGCUUGCUUCCCCAUCCAUCCACGUGGGGGCAGAAGGGCAAGAGGAAUGGCCCCCUCCUAGCGCAUGCUCACUCACUCAAAUGAUAUGCAAGUGGUGCGUCGGGCAUGGGGCACAGCAAGCAAAGUGGCGAACGAGUGCGUAACGCGUGGGAAUCUGCCGAACAGUUCACUCCAAAUCUUGAAUAAUUCAUAAAGCAAGCUAAUUCGCGCUGUUUGAUGAGCCUGCGUAGUAUCAGGUAGUUGGUUAGGUAAAGGCUGACCAAGCCAAUGAUGCUUAGCUAGUCUUUUCGGAUGAUCAGCCACACUGGGACUGAGACACAGCCCAGACUCCCUCGGGGGGCAGCAGUGGGGAAUAUUGGACAAUGGGCUCACGCCCGAUCCAGCAAUAUCGCGUGGGUGAAGAAGGGCACUGUCGCUUGUCAAGCUCUUUCGUCGAGUUUCGAUCAUGACAGGACUCGAGGAAGAAGCCCCGACUAACUCUGUGCCAGCAGCCGCGGUAAGACGGGGGGGGCAAGUGUUAUUCGGAAUGACUGGGCGUAAAGGGCACGUAGGCGGUGAAAAGGGUGGAAAGUGAAAGUCGCCAAAGCACUGGCGGGGUGCUUUUUUUACCAUUUCACUUGAGUGAGAUAGGGGAGAGUGGAAUUUCGUGUGGAGGAAUCAAAUCCUAAGAUAUACGAAGGAACGCCAACCGCGAAGGCAGCUCUCUGGGUCCCCACUAACGCUGGGGUGCGAAAGCAUGGGGAGCAAACAGGAUCAGAUACCCUGGUAGUCCAUGCCGUAAGCGAUGAGUGUUCGUCCUUGGUCUGCCUGCCUACUAGGUAGGAUUAGGAUCAGGGGCCCAGCUAACGCGUGAAACACUCUGCCUGGGGAGUACGGUCGCAAGACUGAAACUCAAAGGAAUUGACGGGGGCCUGCACAAGCGGUGGAGCAUGUGGUUUAAUUCGAUACAACGCGCAGAACCUUACCAGC
rnacentral:ncRNA from 1 species